UACAGAGGGUGCAAGCGUUGUUCGGAAUCAUUGGGCGUAAAGCGCACGUAGGCGGCUUUGCAAGUCAGGUGUGAAAGCCUGGGGCUCAACCCCAGAAGUGCAUUUGAAACUGCAGAGCUUGAGUCUUGGAGAGGGCAGUGGAAUUCCGAGUGUAGAGGUGAAAUUCGUAGAUAUCAGGAGGAACACCAAUAGCGAAGGCAGCUCGCUGGGACGUUACUGACACUGAGGCGCGAAAGCGUGGGGAGCGAACAGG
rnacentral:rRNA from 1 species